UUUAACUGAAGAGUUUGAUCAUGGCUCAGAUUGAACGCUGGCGGCAGGCUUAACACAUGCAAGUCGAGCGGGGGAAGGUAGCUUGCUACUGGACCUAGCGGCGGACGGGUGAGUAAUGCUUAGGAAUCUGCCUAUUAGUGGGGGACAACAUCUCGAAAGGGAUGCUAAUACCGCAUACGUCCUACGGGAGAAAGCAGGGGAUCUUCGGACCUUGCGCUAAUAGAUGAGCCUAAGUCGGAUUAGCUAGUUGGUGGGGUAAAGGCCUACCAAGGCGACGAUCUGUAGCGGGUCUGAGAGGAUGAUCCGCCACACUGGGACUGAGACACGGCCCAGACUCCUACGGGAGGCAGCAGUGGGGAAUAUUGGACAAUGGGGGGAACCCUGAUCCAGCCAUGCCGCGUGUGUGAAGAAGGCCUUAUGGUUGUAAAGCACUUUAAGCGAGGAGGAGGCUACU
rnacentral:rRNA from 1 species